UACGUAGGGUGCAAGCGUUGUCCGGAAUUAUUGGGCGUAAAGAGCUCGUAGGCGGUUCGUCGCGUCGGCUGUGAAAUCCCGGAGCUCAACUCCGGGUCUGCAGUCGAUACGGGCGGACUCGAGUUCGGCAGGGGAGACUGGAAUUCCUGGUGUAGCGGUGAAAUGCGCAGAUAUCAGGAGGAACACCGGUGGCGAAGGCGGGUCUCUGGGCCGAUACUGACGCUGAGGAGCGAAAGCGUGGGGAGCGAACGGG
rnacentral:rRNA from 1 species